CUCAACACCAUAGUGUGCAGUGAAAUUAUUCUCUUUUACCAGGGAGUGUUUUCUUCAGCUGGGUCAGAUCAGUGUCUACAAGUGACUUUGUCAAGAAUCCUAUUGAAGUUUCCUUUUGAAAUACCUCGUCUGACACCCAAGAUAAUAAUCUCAACGUCAGGUGGAAACUUCCCGCCACGCAACAGUGACUGUGAAAUUAGACUCGCGGCAAAUUAGGUAAACUGCAUGAGGAGAAUGGAGGAUGGGUCUCUGCCUCUGAAAAUGAAGAUUCUGAGCUGAGAUGCGACCUGGAAGUGUUUUUAGAAGAUUCACCCAAUGAGUAAAGGAAAGGACAGGCAGUUUUUUUUUAAA